UCGAUAUUAGAGGUCCUCCUCGAAUCGC
rnacentral:sRNA from 1 species